rnacentral:rRNA from 1 species
UACGGAGGGGGCUAGCGUUAUUCGGAAUUACUGGGCGUAAAGCGCACGUAGGCGGAUUGGAAAGUCAGAGGUGAAAUCCCAGAGCUCAACUUUGGAACUGCCUUUGAAACUCCCAGUCUUGAGGUCGAGAGAGGUGAGUGGAAUUCCGAGUGUAGAGGUGAAAUUCGUAGAUAUUCGGAGGAACACCAGUGGCGAAGGCGGCUCACUGGACCAUAACUGACGCUGAUGCACGAAAGCUAGGGGAGCAAACAGG